rnacentral:rRNA from 1 species
ACGUACACUCCUACGGGAGGCAGCAGUGGGGAAUAUUGCACAAUGGGCGCAAGCCUGAUGCAGCGACGCCGCGUGGGGGAUGAAGGCCUUCGGGUUGUAAACUCCUUUCGCUAAGGACGAAGCUUUUUUGUGACGGUACCUAGAUAAGAAGCACCGGCUAACUACGUGCCAGCAGCCGCGGUAAUACGUAGGGUGCGAGCGUUGUCCGGAAUUACUGGGCGUAAAGGGCUCGUAGGUGGUUUGUCGCGUCGUCUGUGAAAUUCUGGGGCUUAACUCCGGGCGUGCAGGCGAUACGGGCAUAACUUGAGUGCUGUAGGGGUAACUGGAAUUCCUGGUGUAGCGGUGAAAUGCGCAGAUAUCAGGAGGAACACCGAUGGCGAAGGCAGGUUACUGGGCAGUUACUGACGCUGAGGAGCGAAAGCAUGGGUAGCGAACAGGAUUAGAUACCCCUGUAGUCCCA